rnacentral:ncRNA from 1 species
AGUUCCGGUGGUUCCAGCGGUCUUGUGCAAGGAACGGACAGAGAAGAGGACCCCUUCCCCGCCCCGCCCCUCCCGCCCCACGGGCGGGCUCACCCCGUCGGGUGAACCUGGUCAAACCGGCUGGCCAAAAGCGGGGUCGCGCGCUCUACGCUCAGCGCAACACCACCCGGCAUAUGCGUCGGCCCCCGCCGGGAUGUGGAGUCCCGGGCGGGGGCCUGGCCAACGAGGAAGAGAACAGCUUCCUG